AGUGAACGCUGGCGGUAGGCCUAACACAUGCAAGUCGAACGGCAGCACAGUAAGAGCUUGCUCUUACGGGUGGCGAGUGGCGGACGGGUGAGGAAUACAUCGGAAUCUACUUUUUCGUGGGGGAUAACGUAGGGAAACUUACGCUAAUACCGCAUACGACCUACGGGUGAAAGCAGGGGAUCUUCGGACCUUGCGCGAUUGAAUGAGCCGAUGUCGGAUUAGCUAGUUGGCGGGGUAAAGGCCCACCAAGGCGACGAUCCGUAGCUGGUCUGAGAGGAUGAUCAGCCACACUGGAACUGAGACACGGUCCAGACUCCUACGGGAGGCAGCAGUGGGGAAUAUUGGACGAAGGGCGCAAGCCUGAUCCAGCCAUACCGCGUGAGUGAAGAAGGCCUUCGGGUUGUAAAGCCCUUUUGUUGGGAAAGAAAAGCAGCAGGUUAAUACCCCGCUGUUCUGACGGUACCCAAAGAAUAAGCACCGGCUAACUUCGUA
rnacentral:rRNA from 1 species